CCGCUGGCCCAAAGAAACUAUAAUUUUGAACCAACAGACCUCUGCUGGCAUCUGCGAUUGCAUUUUUCCUGUUUUAACAACGGCUGUGCUAGACGAAGUGGUGAAGCCCAAAGACUUAUUUUUGAACUCCCUGUAAGACUGAGAAAUCACGUAGUCCUUCCUGAAACCAUUAAGAGGAAAAAUGAUCUAAAGUGGGCAACUAGGCUGGGCACAGUGGCUGACACCUGUGAUCCCAGCACUUUGGGAGGCGGAGUCUGUGACACUGCAUACAGAUGUAGGUGAUAUUAAAAUUGAAGUCUUCUGUGAGAGGACACCCAAAACAUGUGAGAAUUUCUUGGCUCUUUGUGCCAGUAAUUACUACAAUGGCUGUAUAUUUCAUAGGAAUAUCAAGGGUUUCAUGGUUCAAACAGGAGAUCCAACAGGAACUGGAAGAGGAGGCAACAGUAUCUGGGGCAAGAAGUUUGAGGAUGAAUACAGUGAAUAUCUUAAGAUAAAGAAACUAGCAAGAGUCCAUUGUAUGUGAGAAGAGAUUGUGGGCAUUUUGGUUUUGUUGCCUGCCUGAUCGUUUCAUUCCAGCACACUAUUCCUUAAUAUAAAUCACAAUGUUAGAGGUGUUGUAUCUAUGGCUAAUAAUGGCCCGAACACCAAUGGAUCUCAGUUCUUCAUCACCUAUGGCAAACAGCCACAUUUGGAC
rnacentral:sRNA from 1 species